rnacentral:tRNA from 1 species
GCUACGGACUUAAAAUCCGUCGAUUUUAAAAAUCAUGAGGGUUCAAGUCCCUCUAUCCCCC